GUGACCUCCUAAAAAGUAACGGAGGUGUACAAAGGUAAAUUAAAAAGUGUAAUAGCUAAAAUUUGCUUGAUUGAUAAAAAGACAUUUAUAUCAAGGACGUAAGUCUGUUAUAGUGAUCCAAUAGCACUAAAAAAAGUGAAGGCUAUUGCUUAACGGAUAAAAGUUACGCUAGGGAUAACAGGCUAAUGAUUUCCAAGAGUCCUAAUUGCCGGAAUCGUUUGGCACCUCGAUGUCGGCUCAUCUUAUCCUGGGUACGUAGGAAGAUCCAAGGGUACGUCUGUUCGACGUUUAAAAAGGUUACGUGAGCUGGGUUUAGAACGUCGUGAGACAGUUUGGUCCCUAUCUACUAUGGGUGUUCAAAAUUGAAAGGUUUUACGAGCUAGUAUGAGAAGAAUGCAUGGG
rnacentral:rRNA from 1 species